UACGUAGGGGGCAAGCGUUGUCCGGAUUUAUUGGGCGUAAAGAGCGUGUAGGCGGUUUGGUAGGUCCGCUGUGAAAACUCGAGCUCAACCUCGAGACGCCGGUGGAAACCAUCAGACUAGAGUCCGGAAGAGGAGAGUGGAAUUCCUGGUGUAGCGGUGAAAUGCGCAGAUAUCAGGAAGAACACCCCGUGGCUAAGGCGGCUCUCUAGUACGGUACUGACGCUGAGACGCGAAAGCGUGGGGAGCGAACAGG
rnacentral:rRNA from 1 species